UGUUUUCUCAUGGUUCUGAAGGCUGAAAAUCCAAGUUCAAGGUGUCAGCAGGUUCUAUUUCUUCUGAGACCUCUUCCCUUGACCUGCAAAUGGUUGCCCUUUGGUCUCUGUGUUGUCUGUGUUCUAAUCUGCUCUUUUAAGGGCAGCAGUCUUAUUGGAGUAAGGGCCAACCAUAGGACCUCAUUUUACUUUACUUACAACUUUAAGGCCAUGUCUCCAAAUACAAUCGCAUACUGUGUUAGGACUUCAAAAUACAAGUUCUGUUGGAACACAUAAAGCUACUAGGAAGUUUAUUAGCUCUGAAAUACUGUUGAGAAUAUAAUAAGCAAAAUAAGUUUCCUUACUCAUUUUUUUGCAUUACAAUUCUUAUUACAUGUAUACAGCACAAUUUUUCAUAUCUGGUUGUAUAUACAGUAUGUUGAUACCAAUUCGUGUCUUCAUACAUGUACUUUGGAUGAUGAUGUCUAUCACAUUCCACCAUCAUUGCUAAUCCCCUGCCUCCUCCCUUUCCCUCCCACCCCUCUGCCCUAUCUAAAAUUCAUCUAUUUCUCCCAUGCUCCCCCUCCCUACCCCACUAUGAGUCAGCCUCCUUAUAUCAAAGAAAGCAUUUGGCAUUUGUUUUUUGGGGAUUGGUGAACUUCACUUAGCAUUAUCUUCUCCAAUGUCAUCCAUUUACCUGCCAAUGCCAUGAUUUUAUUCUCUUUUAUUGUUGCGUAAAAUUCCAUUGUGUAUAUAUGCCACAUUUUUUUUUAUCCAUUCAUCCACUGAAGGGCAUCUAGAUUGGCUCCACAGUUUAGCUAUUAUGAAAUUGUACUGCUGUAAACAUCGAUGUGGCUAUGUCCCUGUAAUAUGCUGUUUUUAAGUCCUUUGGGUAUAAACCGAGGAGAGGGGUAGCUGGGUCAAAUGGUGGUUCCAUUCCCAGACUCCUUAUUCUUUAUACAUGAGACAUAACCCAGCAUGAACAAACAUCAGAUUAUUAAGAAUGUUUACAUAAGAGUAAUUGUGUAAACAGUUAUAGUGAAUAUCACCAUUGUAUAUCCACAAGAUACUACUUUUUAAAAUGUAAAUAAAUAGAUCAGUAGAGUGGAAGAGAGGGAACAGGAAGAGGGAAGAGAGGGAGGGUAACAGUAAGUACUGGGGACUUAGUUGGACCAAACUAUACUCCAUGCAUUUAUGAUUAUGUCAAAAUGAAUCUUAAUGUUAUAUAUAGCUAUUAUGAACCAAUAAAAAAUAAAAUUAUACAUAAGACAGUAAUAUCCUAACAAUAGAGUUAAGUUCAGUAUUAUUAUUAUUAUUUUUUUUUUAGAGAGAGGGAGAGAGAGAGACAAUUUUUUUUUUAAUAUUUAUUUUUUAGUUAUGG
rnacentral:lncRNA from 1 species